AUUGAACGCUGGCGGCAUGCCUUACACAUGCAAGUCGAACGGUAACAGGUCUUCGGAUGCUGACGAGUGGCGAACGGGUGAGUAAUACAUCGGAACGUGCCCGAUCGUGGGGGAUAACGGAGCGAAAGCUUUGCUAAUACCGCAUACGAUCUACGGAUGAAAGCAGGGGACCGCAAGGCCUUGCGCGGACGGAGCGGACGAUGGCAGAUUAGGUAGUUGGUGGGAUAAAAGCUUACCAAGCCGACGAUCUGUAGCUGGUCUGAGAGGACGACCAGCCACACUGGGACUGAGACACGGCCCAGACUCCUACGGGAGGCAGCAGUGGGGAAUUUUGGACAAUGGGCGAAAGCCUGAUCCAGCCAUGCCGCGUGCAGGAUGAGGGCCUUCGGGUUGUAAACUGCUUUUGUACGGAACGAAAAGACUCUUUCUAAUAAAGAGGGUCCAUGACGGUACCGUAAGAAUAAGCACCGGCUAACUACGUGCCAGCCGCCGCGGUAA
rnacentral:rRNA from 1 species